UUUUCCUUGUGUGCCUGGGUUGUAAGGCCUUUUUGCUGUGACAGAGAGGGGCACCUCUGAAGGUAUCCUGUGGCGGUAGAAGGCUUGUUUCUGAACCUGCAAGUGCCUCACAGACUGUCCUGAAAUGCCAACUGUCUGUCAAUGUCAUCCAUCAAGGGCAGAUCAAGGAUUCACUCUGACAGACAUAUAUGGCUUCAAAGUAACGUGCCUUACAUUCCAUAAACUGAAUUAAACACUUGUUAUAAAGCGAGACGCUUCAGACCAAUGUGGAAUGUAGGGAACCCCCAGGAUGAUUUUUAAAGCACUCAGAAGUACCAAGGAUGACUUCAUAAUCACCAGGUGGGCUGGUGCAAGGUACCUGGAGCAUCUACUCAACAACUGGCUGAGAAAGUGUUAAUGCUCUCCUAUGCACUGAGACCUCAGCUGCACUCACUGAUUGCUGAGGUUGUCAGCCCAGCAGCCCUGGUGACUUGGGAAAUGUCUCCUGUGUUGUAAGGAGGAACUCUUCAGCUAGAAAGAAAAGAAAAAGAGAUUCCUUGGAAAGGAAGGGAGACACUUCUGCUCUUGUAGCCACUGGGAGAGAAGUUUCCAGAGCACAUGGGCAGACUGGUAGGGGAGCCUAGCGACAAGAGAGUUUGCAGCACACUGGAGAUCACUGAGAAUGGGGCACAGACAACCUGCCUAAAGUGCAAGCUGACGAAGAGGCUUUUCCUGGCGCUUGGAAGACCAUGCAGUCUGCCAAAACCCAGAAAGUGACUGAGCUGGAUUUCAGCCAAGCCCUCCAAAAAAGAUUUAUCCACCAAGAACAUGGUAAGAUCUUAAUUUGCAAGUUCUCUUAUUUUCAUUGUUUGCUCUUCAUUUUAGAAGUUAGCCUUUCUGUUUGUAUUUUGAAAAGAAGUAGCUUUUGCUUUUGAAAGCCUUUUGAGCACUUUUGGGCUGUACAGAAUGAUGUGACAAGACUUUAUAAGUUUGACUUUCAUAUGUUGACAUUGUGCAUCUUCUCAGAUUGGUCUGCGCAAAUAAUUUGUAAACUCUUCAAACCUUUUUUGUUUGUUUGUUUUUUACCAUCCCUGAAACCAUGGUCUUCUGACAAGUAGGCUUGGCAUCUACUGUCUCCAAAUGCUAAAGUAAUACAUACACUUAUACUGAGGUCACACAAGGCAUGCUGUUGAAUUAAGGUAUUAAUUUUGUUUUCUCCAUUGGAUGGGAGUCAUUUUGCUCUCCUCAUGCAAUGCUUGGAAUUAUCACCUUUUAUUAAUAGUGCUGUCAUGUUUUUGUGACACAGUGACAGAUUUGGACCUUUUCCUCUUUAAGCUAUAUGCCGCUUUUUUCUUUUUUUUUUUUUAAAGUUGUUUUAAUUAUGUAAUUGCAGACAAACUUCAAGACCACCCAAGUUAGGUUAAGAUUACAAACAGUUUCAUAUGAUCACUUCCAUGAAUUUUCCAGUUUUCAGUAUUGUUGUACUUUUAAAUGGACACCUGGGAAACCUUAAUGUUCUGUAUAUGGUAGUAGCAAUUUACUAGUACCUUUGAGACAGCAAAAGCUGUCAAAAAGCCUCAAAAAGUUCACAUGAAAGUAGUUAUCUCAGAUGAGCAAUACAUCCUAGCCUACCCCAAUGAAAGCUACUGGCAAAAUACCAUAAGUAAAGCAAAGACAAUUGCUGACAGGUAACUGAUGCUUAGUAAUUUGCAACUUAAAUUGUUUCAUCUUUAGAGGAUAGGAACCUGCUCUUUUCAACUGGCUUUUUUUAAGAGUGCUUGAUCAGCAAAGUGAUAUAGUAAAAUGCAAGUAAAAACUAUUGGAAGGGACUGAAAAGACAGCUUGCUUUUUGAGAAAAGCUGUUGUUUUUACUGUGCUGGGGCCCAUUUAGAUUCAAUUUGCACUGUUUCCUCCAGAUUUUAUGGAGCUUUUACUUUCAUGACUUCGAACAGCAUCUCUGUCAAAAUCCACAUCAUAGAAUUAGGCCUGUAGAGGCAUUUUAUGGCACCUUCCCCUGGAUAGCUGUAAAAAGAGGAGUGUGUCCACAGUAUAACUUCAGAUCAGCUAGACAGCUUUCCGUUAUUAAAGUAGUCAUGCUGCUAUACAUAAAGGGAUCCAGCAUUUUCCUCAAAGCUCUCUGUCAAAAGUGAAGACUUCCCUGAUUGUUCUAUUGGAUGUUCUCUAUUUUGAAGAGCCUCAGGAUAAAAGAAGAUAUACUUCCAGAUGUCUCUGUGAACUCUUAUUCUAUUAUUUGUCUUGUAAAGACAUGAAAAAUUUCCUAGCUCUAGCCUGUUCAAUUUAUUAUGUAUUUUUAUAGGCAAAAUACUAAUAAUUGAGAACACAGUAAAAGAUCCUGCUCUUCUGCAGUGAGAUAAAUGUUAAGCAAUUCUACUAGGUUUUGUAAUGUAACCUGGCCUUUAAAAUAUAUAUCAUGUAAAACAAAACAUGGGAUAGAUCAAAAUAUAAGAAAAUAAUUUAAUGGAGACACAAAGUUUGCCAGCAUUAGUAUGGCAAAAGGAAUGAAUUAUUCAGUCUGCUAUGUCUUACUUGGACUGAAUGUCGUUCUUAAACAUACAAUUGGACUGAUAAUUUCGGCUUUGUUGUUACGCAGUUGCACAGCUUCAAACCAACAGGCAAGCAAACACCAAGUGCCUCCAAGUGGCGUGAGUGCAUCCAUUGAACUUACUUGCUUACUGUGUUCUCCCAUGUAGUACCUGCUGUGUCAAAGUGGAAGGGUUGAUGCAUUUAAAUGAAAAACCUUCUUGUGAGAACUGUCUAACCUAGUCCUCAGGAGAACUAGGCAAGGCAAGAAGGCUACUCAGCAAGAGCUUGAAGUUAAUUAUGACAGAUAUUGGCAUCCUGUCUGAAAACAUGUUUGCAGUGAAACGUUUUAACUGCAGUAGACUGAAAUCUGUCACUGUUACCUGAGUUUGUGUAAUAGUCUCUAGAUACCCUUUAGAGUAAAAUGGUUUAGUUGCAGAAGGCACAGUUUCCUGAAAGCCAAAUGUUUUACAGUAAAAGAUUGGUCAAGCUGAGCAGAAGUGGAAAAUGCAAUCCAACCUCUCCCAGAUUGCUAAAUAGCAGAUUACAAUUAAGCCACAGUUCCAAAUGGGAAAAUAAUUUGAUUGCCUUGCAUGAUCUACAGCUCUUGGUUCUCUUGCCUUUCAUUCAAUCUACCUUGAAUUGGAUAUUCUGUAAUCGUGGAUCUAAAACAGGGAUUGGUGGUGGUCACAAGUAGGAAGCCCUGGAAGAAAAGAACUUUUCUCCUAUAGUCUAGCUGUAAGCAAGAUGUUUACAGAUUCAUAAUAGUGAUUUGAGAACCUGGGUAUGGGGGUUAUUGAGAGCUAUCAGACACAGGGAAUACUUAUAGCAUCUGCAAUGUUAACACCAGUGAGAAGCACAUACAUGUAUGUAAAGCUCUUUGAGAAAGGUGUGACUGAAUUUAUCACGGUGGUGACAGCUAGACCAUACAAUGAAUAAUGCAUCUAAAUGUCACAAUACCAGGAAGGCAUCAUCUCAAAGAGCAUACAAGUUUCACUGCUUGCUGCCCAAGUAGGUGGGAAUUUUGCUUGCAUAUCAUUUUUGCUAAAGCCUGCCUGGGUUAAUACAUCACUGGUAGUAUUUCAAGCAAGAUCACCUGUUUAAUAGACCGUAUCUCUUCUCUAGGCUGGAACUGGAGAAGAACAAUGGUUUCCUAUUAGCAAACUACUUAUAGGGAGAAAUGUAAAUAUUUCACUUAUCUGUGGGAUUUUUUAUUUUAUUUUAUUUUAAUUUUUUUUAAGAAAAAAGAAUCAGGAAAACUCAAGACAUGAUCUUUUCUCCCUUUCUGUAAAUAUGAAAAAACAUUAUCUACUGCAAUUUCUAUUUUAUUUUGCUAUUUAUAAUGUUAAUAUUUUUUCACAUUUUUCACUUCCUCAUAAAUCACGUGCAGUAGCUGUUAAUUGUGAAGUAACUCAGAAUAUUAAUGAGCACUUCAGAAAGAGAGAGUGGUAAAUUCAGGAGUCCUAUUGCUGGCUCAAAACGCCGGAUGCUUAAAUAAGCGUGGGGCUUACAUUUGUUGAAUUGACAGCUUGUGAGGAAAAUACAAGAACAAAGAGGACGGUCCUUAAGAAUUUGCUGUGCUAUGGAGGACAUAAGCAUACAUUAUGUGUACCAGACCACUCAACAAUCUCAGGUGAUUAUUGUUUGCAUUGAUGCUCUUUAGUAUUUUUAUUGGACAUUGUGAACAUGCAGCUUACCAAAGUUCAAAGGCCUAUUUUACCUCAGCAAAGAAUAAGUUUCUUAUCCUGUGUGCUACAUAAAAACCUAUCAUCUGUUCUGUGUCUUUCUUUGGUGGAAGAAGCCCUGUGCUUCCUACAGCAGGCAGUGCUUUUGGUCAGUGGUUCAAUUUACCAUAAUGGUCAGGGCCUAAUGACCGAGGAGCAAGCCAGCAUGGCAGAGUGGGAUGUCUCCUUCAAGCAUGAAGGAAUGUAAAUGAGUGAAAACUUCCUGACUGUGAAGAUGGGUGUGUUCUGUAGUUUCAGAGAAAGGCAUGGCUCUUAACUGCAAAAUAAUUCAUUGUUAUGGUCCUAUUUUCCUUCAGUAAGAGGUAAAACUCCCUUUAAUUCUUAUAACAAAUAGAGAGAUGACUCUGUAGAGCCCAGUGCCUUGUUCGAGUUACGUGAUUCAUUCUGUCCUGCAUUGCAUAAAAUAAAAACAGCUGCAUAUUAUACUGCAGUGUUAGUUCUGGGGAUCCAACCAGUUUCUGGCAUCAGGGAAGCUGUGGUGAUCUGCUGAAAUUGAAAGGUGGUUUCUGUGUGUGUCUACUGAGCAUAUCAUGAUUUACCCAUAGAUCCUAGAGAGUUCAGCAUUGGUAUUGGUCAAAGUUAUUUCUUAAUAUGGUUUACGGUUUGUGUUGUAGUUCCAGCAGCAUUGCCCAUUGGCACCAUUUGUCCUGUUAACCUGAUUAUCAUGAGUAUCAUGGGGGAUUAUGGUUUGCUGAAACAAAACAGAAUCACAUUGUUAUAGAAGCUUUGGGAGCAACAUUCCCUGGGAAGGUUUAGUUGGAAUUUAUAUAUGUAGUAGAAAUAAUAUCUCUUGGUUACAACUACACUUCAGUUAACUCGCUUAAUUUUGCUCGAAUGUCUACAGCAUACUGACAUAUUUUUCUCCACGAAUUAUAUUUAUUCUAGUGAAUGGUUUCAAAAGAAAGGUUCACAGCAUGAUACAUUAUCCACCCAAUAAGUAUUUUAAAGUAGACCUUUAUUUGUCAUUUAAAGAAGUAAGAAAAAUACCUAUUAGUUAGAUAAGGUCUGGAACAUUUUCAUGUUGUCAGGAUUGUUACAUCAAGACUGUUACAUAUCAGUCUCUGUUACCCAAACUGACUUGUUUUCCUUCAAAUCCUUCCAUCCUUUAUCCUUACAAAGAUAAAAGGGCUGUGUUUUGAAGGGAGAGCAUGCUUAAUCAGGAUGCUCUUUGACAAAAUAAAUAAAUAAAUAAAUAAUUAAGUGCUAGUUCAGAGAGAGGAUUUUCUUAAAUGUUGUUUGAAGAAAUUUUUUGCUCUGUAGUACAGAAAAGGUACAGUGACUUCUGGAGAUGUUCGGUGAAGUUGUUAACCAUUAGCAUUCUGCACAUUUACUUGUUUUUCUGUCCACUAAUUGUGUAACUGAACCCCCAGAUUUGCAGUGGAGAAAUACUUGCUGCUUUGGUUGACCUUUAUAGAAAUGUUCAUGAUACAUGCAAAGUAAGUUUUGGGGUGUGGACAAAAAUUGGUUCAUUAGCUGCUGGUCACUCCUGUAAUUUACUGUUCAUUAUGUUAUUGUUUUCAAAAUCAGUGUCAUGCAAAGUUAGAAAUGUUAAGUAUUUUAAAUUAAAU